rnacentral:rRNA from 1 species
CUACGUAGCUCAGAGUUUGAUCCUGGCUCAGGACGAACGCUGGCGGCGUGCUUAACACAUGCAAGUCGAGCGGGGACAAGAGCUUCGGUUCUUGUUCUAGCGGCGGACGGGUGAGUAACGCGUGAACAAUCUGUCCCAGACAGGGGGAUAACACUUGGAAACAGGUGCUAAUACCGCAUAAGACCACGACACCACAUGGUGAUGGGGUAAAAGAUUUAUCGGUCUGGGGUGAGUUCGCGUCCGAUUAGCUAGUUGGUGAGGUAACGGCCCACCAAGGCGACGAUCGGUAGCCGACCUGAGAGGGUGAUCGGCCACAUUGGAACUGAGACACGGUCCAA